rnacentral:rRNA from 1 species
AGAGUUUGAUCCUGGCUCAGAUUGAACGCUGGCGGCAUGCUUUACACAUGCAAGUCGAACGGCAGCACGAGUGCUUGCACUUGGUGGCGAGUGGCGAACGGGUGAGUAAUACAUCGGAACGUGUCCUAAAGAGGGGGAUAACGCAUCGAAAGAUGUGCUAAUACCGCAUAAUCUCUUUGGAGAAAAGUAGGGGAUCGAAAGACCUUGCGCUUUUGGAGCGGCCGAUGUCUGAUUAGCUAGUUGGUGAGGUAAAUGCUUACCAAGGCAACGAUCAGUAGUUGGUCUGAGAGGAUGACCAACCACACUGGGACUGAGACACGGCCCAGACUCCUACGGGAGGCAGCAGUGGGGAAUUUUGGACAAUGGGGGAAACCCUGAUCCAGCAAUGCCGCGUGAGUGAAGAAGGCCUUCGGGUUGUAAAGCUCUUUCAGUUGAGAAGAAAAGAUUGUGACUAAUAAUCAUAAUUAAUGACGGUAUCAACAGAAGAAGCACCGGCUAACUACGUGCCAGCAGCCGCGGUAGUACGUAGGGUGCGAGCGUUAAUCGGAAUUACUGGGCGUAAAGGGUGCGCAGGCGGUUAUGUAAGUCAGAUGUGAAAUCCCCGGGC